GCUCAAAGCUGUGUGCAAGAAGUCAGAAAUCACUUAGACUUGAGGGUAGGAUUUAGAGCCCUCCUCAGUUCUCUGGAUCCUACAGAUGCACAGAUGUAUGCAUGAAUGGGACCGCUUUACCCAAAGUGGAAAUCGGUUUGCCCAGGGAGGUGGGUGUGGUACAGAGGUCUUCCAAAAGACACUGAUCUCAUAGCACACCUUGCAGAAGAUAUGUGCUGUGGGACAUGAGUGUGCUGAUCUUUGGGGGGUACUGUGCGUGGUCUGAGGGUGAAUACCAAGAAACAGACUAGUGGAGAGGGCCAGACAGACAAAGAAAGGGGUUAGGAUGAGAGCUCUGGACCCCAGCGGAAAGAGACUCAGAACAGAAGACAACUAGAAAGCUGGAACUCGACCUCAUCUUGGGCUAGGGUCUGUUAGCCAUUUCUCAGAGAGGGGAGAUUUUCUGUCCUCUCAUUCCCUUAGUGGUCCCAUCCCAAGUGCCUAACCUAUUCUUGAAUCAGUUUUUGUGCCUGACUUUGAGGUCUUGUUGCCCCCCACCCCGUACUCCACCCCUGACCAAGGUCUAGAGAGACAGAGCAAGUAGCUUCCUUCAUAGGACAGUCCGGAGGUGCUCCGGACACGGGGGAGAGAGCUAUUUGCUGAACUUUCCUCAGUGACUUCUGUGUGUGUACACAUAUAUGUGCAUGUGUCUCACAUUCGAGGACACAGGAGCUGUGGGGCUCCCCCAGCUCAGCCUACAGCUGUGUGACCUUCGACUCUCUUUCUGCACACCUCAGUUGCCCAUCUGUGAACAGAGAGCACGAGAGAAACAUUUGCCUGACACCCUAGCAGUUUGAUGUCCUCCUCCUGUGCCCAUAGCCUCGAUUCUAGUCCAGCAAAGGACAAUCAAAGCCAGAGACUGUUCAGGAGGUGCUCCGGACACGGGGGAGAGAGCUAUUUGCUGAACUUCCCUCAGUGACUUCUGUGUGUGUACACAUAUAUGUGCAUGUGGCUGUUGGGUACAAUAUCCUUCCUCAGUGUGUGCCUGAAUGUUUAUCGGCACAAGGCUUUAUGGGCAUCUGAGUCAGUCCGUAGGGUUGUGUGUACUCGAGUUCACAUGUGAUUGAAGCUCUGCAUCCGCACAUGACUCCGAGGGAAGCACAGCUGUCUAAUGCAUGUGUGUGCGUGCACGUGUGCACCCUAUGGGUGUGCACACGGGUCCAUUGUUUGUUCAUUUGUAUUCAACAAAUGCCUCUGAGUUUUCUGUUCGUCAGUCUGUUGUUCUAAGCGCUUUACGAAGAUCAUCUAGUUAGGUUUUACCCACGACCCUUUGAGAAAGGUACUUGCCCUGUUUUGUUUUUUUAUCUCAGGUAAAUCCACAAUCACUAUGGCCAUUGUCUCUUAUGAUAACCAAGUAUCAAGCCCUGCAACCUCAAGUGUGGUGGAACCCCUAGGGCCCCAUAGUUCUCUGUAGGGAAGUUGACGUAUAUGCAGAGAACUUCCUGGUUUAGAAGAGUCCUAAGCUGAAGGCAGAAAGACAGAUGCUGGUGUGGCUAUACAGGGACCAUGCCCUGACUUUGGACCGUCUCCCGCUUCAACUCUAAGGGGUAUAUAGUCCAAGGGACGGAGGCAGGGGUAUAGUCCAAGGAACAGGAGUUUGGCCAACUCACUCACCCACCACCCUGUGGGAUCCCUGGGCUCAGCUGGAGUCAGCAAACAACUGGCAGCCUGUGCCAUCUCUUUCCUAAGCCUGGGGGGGGGGGCUCCUGCCCUGUCCCGAUGUGUACAGGUACGGACAAAGACCAUCCACAUCAGCUGCCACCAAACUUAUAGGUGACGUGCUCAGCCAGAUCCAAGUCCAGGCUCGUUUCUCCCAUGACCUUGGCUGGAGGACCAAAGAGCAUCCUAUUGGGGGGACACUGACCACAGCUGGACUCACCUGGUCCAUCUGUCCUCACAAAGAAGAGUAGCCUGGAGAGGGACAUAGAAGGAGUGGAGUUUAGAAAGGGCAGGCUCUCAGCUUAUGAGCAGGCAGAAGGGUAGUCUUGUCCUCUGAGAUUCCUUACUCUAAGGAUGCCCUAGAGAGCCCUCAGCUCACAUAAAAGUGAAGAAGCUGUAGCCAGAGAAGCUGCUGUUCAGCAGGAAGAUGGGCCAGGACCUUCAGAUAGGGUUCCCAGAGAAAGCAUGGUCUCCUAGGCUGGCUGUGCAGGCAACUUUUCUGCAUUUUUUUUUUAACAUUUGUUAUUUGUGUGUGUGCCUACGUGUGUUUUCGGGAGUGAGUUCUUUCCUUCUACCGUGUAGGCUUCAGGUAUUGACUUCAGAUGGCAAGAACUUUACCUGAGAAGCCAUCUUGCCUGCCCAAAGGGGUUUGAUUUUAAAAAUAAGAAAGGACAUGUAUCAAGCAGUGGCUUUCCGAGUAGAGUCUUGAGCUAGAACUCGCCAUAUAUGAUUUCUCAAUCCACCCAUUCCUCUAGUCAUUUUAUGGAGAAAUGACCCUGAGGUUCACCUUGUAAGAUGGGCAGUGGUGAGAUCUGAAACACUUGAACCCAGGACUUCCGGUUUCUACAGGGGACUCUUCUAGGUGAGAGUCAACGGGUUAGCUGGCUCGCAGGCUCCUGAGGACUCUUUGGCUCCUCUUUAUGUGGUUUGGGAAUCUGAACUCCGCUUCUCAUCGUGAGCAUCAAGGAGCGUCCAUCCCCACUGAGCCAUCUCAAGAAUUCAAAUGAUACAAGAAAUGAUACAGGUCAAACAGAGACCAUCUGUGGGCACUGCCGAGGAAAUCCCUGUCUCCUUUGUAGAGAAAGACAUUUUGUCAGUUUGGGGAGGGCCCUCUAUCUCUUUCCCUCCUGUGCGUCACAUGACACCUCUUUGUGUGCCUACCAAAGAGUCUCAGUGUUUUCUCUGUUUUUAAGUAAGUUCCCUGAGCUUCCCCACGGGGCUGUGUGACACGUGCAUGCAUCGUUUGCAUACAACUAGAGUUGUAUCUUCAUGUUUGUGAAUGUAAAUCUUUUAGGAUAUAUAUUAUGUUUUUUUUUUAA